rnacentral:rRNA from 1 species
AUUGAACGCUGGCGGCAGGCCUAACACAUGCAAGUCGAACGAGUGGCGGACGGGUGAGUAAUGUCUGGGAAACUGCCUGAUGGAGGGGGAUAACUACUGGAAACGGUAGCUAAUACCGCAUACCAUCGGAUGUGCCCAGAUGGGAUUAGCUAGUAGGUGGGGGAAAGGCUCACCUAGGCGCCGAACCCUAGCUGGUCUGAGAGGAUGACCAGCCACACGGUGACUGAGACACAGGACAGACUCCUACGAGAGGCGGCAAUGGGGAAUAUGGCACAAUGGACGCAUGCCUGAUGCAGCCAGGCCGCGUGUGUGAAGAAGACCUUCGGGUUGUAAAGCACUUUCAGAGGGGAGGCGUUACCCACAGAAGAAGCACCGGCUAACUCCGUGACAGCAGCCGCGGUAAUAC